ACAAACUGGAAUGUUCAUUUAUCUCUUCUCUGGUCACCAAUCAGUUUCAUUUUAACUGGAGUAUUAACAGUCUCGGCAGCAAGCACAUGUAAACCACGCCUGGUCAAAUCCUCACAAAUGCUCAGCUUUUUAAAUGCAGCAGCUGCUGCUCUGUCUCUCCACUUUCACUUUUAUUACACUGGGGUAAGUGCUUGCUUUGAAACUCACACAUGUACAAAAUAUAUGUCUAGAUUAAAACAAUUUCUUGUUUUACCAGAUUUAGCUGAAAGUGCCUAGAUGAAACUUGCCUUGCCUUAUAUAUUGUGAUGCAGAUAGUCUACAACAAUAUGAUGUAGCCCAUCCUCUAUACUGUUUAGAUCUGGCAACCGGUUUUUGAUUCAUAUUUUCGUUCAUAAUCACUGUGUGUCUAUUAUUUUUCAGGGUGUGACCUGCCUCCUCCUUAU